rnacentral:sRNA from 1 species
GGGACGCGAGUCUGAGAGCCUGCGGGCGGGCGGCGCGCUGCAGGCGAGCGGGCGAGCGGGCGCGCCCUGCAGGGAGCUGACCUGUCCUGGACGCAGCAUAACUAACGAAGCUGCUGCAGGAUGAGAAGAUGGCAGCGCGGCUGCUUGCACCACCAGGCCCUGAUAGUUUCAAGCCUUUCACCCCUGAGUCGCUGGCAAACAUUGAGAGGCGCAUUGCUGAGAGCAAGCUCAAGAAACCACCAAAGGCUGAUGGCAGUCAUCGGGAGGACGAUGAGGACAGCAAGCCCAAGCCAAACAGCGACCUGGAAGCAGGGAAGAGUUUGCCUUUCAUCUACGGGGACAUCCCCCAAGGCCUGGUUGCAGUUCCCCUGGAGGACUUUGACCCAUACUAUUUGACGCAGAAAACCUUUGUAGUAUUAAACAGAGGGAAAACUCUCUUCAGAUUUAGUGCCACGCCUGCCUUGUACAUUUUAAGUCCUUUUAACCUGAUAAGAAGAAUAGCUAUUAAAAUUUUGAUACAUUCAGUAUUUAGCAUGAUCAUUAUGUGCACUAUUUUGACCAACUGUGUAUUCAUGACUUUUAGUAACCCUCCUGACUGGUCGAAGAAUGUGGAGUACACAUUCACAGGGAUUUAUACAUUUGAAUCACUAGUGAAAAUCAUUGCAAGAGGUUUCUGCAUAGAUGGCUUUACCUUUUUACGGGAUCCAUGGAACUGGUUAGAUUUCAGUGUCAUCAUGAUGGCAUAUGUGACAGAGUUUGUGGACCUGGGCAAUGUCUCAGCGCUGAGAACAUUCAGGGUUCUCCGAGCUUUGAAAACUAUCUCUGUAAUUCCAGGCCUGAAGACAAUUGUGGGUGCCCUGAUUCAGUCUGUGAAGAAACUGUCAGAUGUGAUGAUCCUGACAGUGUUCUGCCUGAGUGUUUUCGCCUUGAUCGGACUGCAGCUGUUCAUGGGGAACCUUCGAAACAAGUGUGUUGUGUGGCCCAUAAACUUCAACGAGAGCUAUCUUGAAAAUGGCACCAAAGGCUUUGAUUGGGAAGAGUAUAUCAACAAUAAAACAAAUUUCUACACAGUUCCUGGCAUGCUGGAACCUUUACUCUGUGGGAACAGUUCUGAUGCUGGGCAAUGCCCAGAGGGAUACCAGUGUAUGAAAGCAGGAAGGAACCCCAACUAUGGUUACACAAGUUUUGACACUUUUAGCUGGGCCUUCUUGGCAUUAUUUCGCCUUAUGACCCAGGACUAUUGGGAAAACUUGUAUCAAUUGACCUUACGAGCAGCCGGGAAAACAUACAUGAUCUUCUUCGUCUUGGUCAUCUUUGUGGGUUCUUUCUAUCUGGUGAACUUGAUCUUGGCUGUGGUGGCCAUGGCUUAUGAAGAACAGAAUCAGGCAACACUGGAGGAGGCAGAACAAAAAGAGGCUGAAUUUAAAGCAAUGUUGGAGCAACUUAAGAAGCAACAGGAAGAGGCACAGGCUGCUGCGAUGGCCACUUCAGCAGGAACUGUCUCAGAAGAUGCCAUAGAGGAAGAAGGUGAAGAAGGAGGGGGCUCCCCUCGGAGCUCUUCUGAAAUCUCUAAACUCAGCUCAAAGAGUGCAAAGGAAAGACGUAACAGGAGAAAGAAGAGGAAGCAAAAGGAACUCUCUGAAGGAGAGGAGAAAGGGGAUCCUGAGAAGGUGUUUAAGUCAGAGUCAGAAGAUGGCAUGAGAAGGAAGGCCUUUCGGCUGCCAGACAACAGAAUAGGGAGGAAAUUUUCCAUCAUGAAUCAGUCACUGCUCAGCAUCCCAGGCUCGCCCUUCCUCUCCCGCCACAACAGCAAGAGCAGCAUCUUCAGUUUCAGGGGACCUGGGCGGUUCCGAGACCCGGGCUCCGAGAAUGAGUUCGCGGAUGACGAGCACAGCACGGUGGAGGAGAGCGAGGGCCGCCGGGACUCCCUCUUCAUCCCCAUCCGGGCCCGCGAGCGCCGUAGCAGCUACAGCGGCUACAGCGGCUACAGCCAGGGCAGCCGCUCCUCACGCAUCUUCCCCAGCCUGCGGCGCAGCGUGAAGCGCAACAGCACGGUGGACUGCAACGGCGUGGUGUCCCUCAUUGGCGGCCCCGGCUCCCACAUCGGCGGGCGUCUCCUGCCAGAGGCUACAACUGAGGUGGAAAUUAAGAAGAAAGGCCCUGGAUCUCUUUUAGUUUCCAUGGACCAAUUAGCCUCCUACGGGCGGAAGGACAGAAUCAACAGUAUAAUGAGUGUUGUUACAAAUACACUAGUAGAAGAACUGGAAGAGUCUCAGAGAAAGUGCCCGCCAUGCUGGUAUAAAUUUGCCAACACUUUCCUCAUCUGGGAGUGCCACCCCUACUGGAUAAAACUGAAAGAGAUUGUGAACUUGAUAGUUAUGGACCCUUUUGUGGAUUUAGCCAUCACCAUCUGCAUCGUCCUGAAUACACUGUUUAUGGCAAUGGAGCACCAUCCUAUGACACCACAAUUUGAACAUGUCUUGGCUGUAGGAAAUCUGGUUUUCACUGGAAUUUUCACAGCGGAAAUGUUCCUGAAGCUCAUAGCCAUGGAUCCCUACUAUUAUUUCCAAGAAGGUUGGAACAUUUUUGACGGAUUUAUUGUCUCCCUCAGUUUAAUGGAACUGAGUCUAGCAGACGUGGAGGGGCUUUCAGUGCUGCGAUCUUUCCGAUUGCUCCGAGUCUUCAAAUUGGCCAAAUCCUGGCCCACCCUGAACAUGCUAAUCAAGAUUAUUGGAAAUUCAGUGGGUGCCCUGGGCAACCUGACACUGGUGCUGGCCAUUAUUGUCUUCAUCUUUGCCGUGGUGGGGAUGCAGCUCUUUGGAAAAAGCUACAAAGAGUGUGUCUGCAAGAUCAACCAGGACUGUGAACUCCCUCGCUGGCAUAUGCAUGACUUUUUCCAUUCCUUCCUCAUUGUCUUUCGAGUGUUGUGCGGGGAGUGGAUUGAGACCAUGUGGGACUGCAUGGAAGUGGCAGGCCAGGCCAUGUGCCUCAUUGUCUUUAUGAUGGUCAUGGUGAUUGGCAACUUGGUGGUUAGUACUAAUUUGUAGAUAUUUUUAUUCUACACCCUGAAUAUUCUACCCUUGGCCCAGAAGCCCAAGUCCUUCUACUACUUAGUCCUUCUACUACCCAUCAUGUUUGUUGAUUUUUAUUCUUUCUUGGCCCAGAAACCCUAAGGUACAAAUGAAGGAGAGGAGAGAGAUACUUACAGAGUGCCUACUUAGUCAUGACCCCCACAACUUGUCAACCCUUUUCC